CUCGAAUCUGUGCAGUCGAAGCAGUAAAAGGAAAGGGGACAUGAGCGAAAGAAUCGAGAACCGCAGCUCGAGUUCAAGGGGCCGUUUCUUCCUUGGGGACUCUGGGGGGAAAACUUUGUCGGCGCCUAUACACCUGCACCCGAAGCGUAUACCGAACUAUUUUUUACGUACUAACUAAUUUAUAACUCCACGUGGAAACUGUGUACAACGACGACUACGUGGUAUGCGCGAUGCAUAAAUAUGUACGUAAGUGCGAGAUGGUAUUUACAAUAACUCGUACGUUGUUAUUCCCGUAUCACAGGACCCUUGAACAGGUUUUAAUUACAUCAGGGAUAAUUUCAUUUCAUUAAUCAGACUAAUUAUUUGAACGUUAAAACGCGAAGAGGAGAGGAGCAACGGAAACGCAGCUGCUCGAUAAAAUCAAGGUGAUUCGAGAGCCUCCGAUUCCGAGCGAUCAAUCGAUCGACGCUAUUGAAAAAAGGAUAAAGAAAAAAGAAAAUUUCAGCUUCGGCAUGGAUUUCGUCAUUUUUCGGUUUCG
rnacentral:misc_RNA from 1 species